GAUGAACGCUAGCGGCAGGCUUAAUACAUGCCAGUCGUGGGGCAGCAUGAGUAGCAAUACUUGAUGGCGACCGGCAAACGGGUGCGGAACACGUACACAACCUUCCGAUAAGUGGGGAAUAGCCCAGAGAAAUUUGGAUUAAUACCCCGUAACAUAUAGAGUAGGCAUCUUCUUUAUAUUAUAGCUUCGGCGCUUAUUGAUGGGUGUGCGUCUGAUUAGGUAGUUGGCGGGGUAACGGCCCACCAAGCCUACGAUCAGUAGCUGAUGUGACGGCAGCGUCAGCGACACGGGGACUGGUACAGGGGCCCGGCGCCUACGGGAGGCAGCAGCAAGGAAUAUUGGACGAUGGCCGAAAGUCUGAUCCAGCCAUGCCGCCUGAAGGAUUAAGGUCCGGUGGAGUGUAAACAGCGUUUAGUUGGGACGAAAAAAGGGAAUUCUUUCCCACUUGACGGUACCAAGUGAAUAAGCACCGGCUAACUCCGUGCCAGCCGCCGCCGUAA
rnacentral:rRNA from 1 species